rnacentral:rRNA from 1 species
UAGGGAAUAUUGGUCAAUGGGCGAGAGCCUGAACCAGCCAUGCCGCGUGCAGGAUGACGGCCUUCUGGGUUGUAAACUGCUUUUAUAUGGGAAGAAAAAGGUCUUGCGAGACCAAUUGCCGGUUCCAUAUGAAUAAGCACCGGCUAACUCCGUGCCAGCAGCCGCGGUAAUACGGAGGGUGCAAGCGUUGUCCGGAUUUAUUGGGCUUAAAGGGUACGUAGGCGGAUUUUUAAGUCCGUGGUGAAAGCCUACAGCUUAACUGUAGUACUGCCAUGGAUACUGGAAAUCUUGAAUUCAGUUGAGGUAAGCGGAAUUUAUGAUGUAGCGGUGAAAUGCAUAGAUAUCAUAAAGAACCCCGAUAGCGAAGGCAGCUUACUAGACUGUAACUGACGCUGAGGCACGAAAGCGUGGGGAGCGAACAGGAUUAGAUACCCCUGUAGUCC